CCUACGGGUGGCAGCAGUGGGGAAUAUUGCACAAUGGGCGAAAGCCUGAUGCAGCAACGCCGCGUGAGCGAUGAAGGCCUUCGGGUCGUAAAGCUCUGUCCUCAAGGAAGAUAAUGACGGUACUUGAGGAGGAAUCCCCGUCUAACUACGUCCCAGCAGCCGCGGUAACAGGCAGGGGGCUAGCGUUAUCCGGAAUUACUGGGCGUAAAGGGUGCGUAGGUGGUUUCUUAAGUCAGAGGUGAAAGGCUACGGCUCAACCGUAGUAAGCCUUUGAAACUGGGAAACUUGAGUGCAGGAGAGGGAGGUGGAAUUCGUGGUGUAGCGGUGAAAUGCGUAGAUAUUAGGAAGAACACCGGUUGCGAAGGCGGCUCUCUGGACUGUAACUGACGCUGAGGCACGAAAGCGUGGGGAGCAAACAGGAUUAGAUACCCUGGUAGUC
rnacentral:rRNA from 1 species